rnacentral:lncRNA from 1 species
AAUUUCCGCGACUCGCAGACGAGCUCUGAUGGGGCAUUUCCAUGCAGAGUUUUGUCUUCGGAAGAAGCGGAGCCUCCAAGGUACCAGACACCCGACGUCGAAGGCCCGAAUGCCUGGUCUCAUUCAUCCAUUUUGGACGAAGUAGGUCCGUAUGACGAAUGAUUGGAUGGAUGUCGUUAUCUGUGCGCGGUCCUAAGGUUUUCUUAUUUGGUUUUGGGUCCCUGGGAGAAAAAAAUAAAAAUAAAAAUAAAACACUCCUAACUAUGUGUCUAUUUCACCCAUGAAAUAAUACCAUCAUUUUAAUUUUGGAUUAUUGCAGCAUUGUAGGAAAAUAACAAGACAAAACAAAUAACAUGCGGAGGCAGGACAGGUGCAACAACCUCAAUAAACAAUGAAGGUCCCAAACAAAAAUUGAAAUUCAGGCAAAUAUACCCCGAAAAUUUUCUUAUAUGUGUAAAUUUCAUUGAAAUCAAAUUUUCUAAUUAUAAAAAUAAAUAUCCAAAAUAUCUGAAUGCUGUAAAAAUUCAAAAGCAGAUAUUUAGUGACGGAAAAUUAACAUACAAAUUUGACUUGAAAAGCAUAAAGGUUGUAUUACUUAUUUGUUAAUUUAUGAGUAAACAAGGGAAUAUUAAAAUUAAUUUACAUACAAUACAUGUGUUAAAAAUAAAUGAAAAUAUAUAGUAUCU